CCAGCAUUCCUCUUGCAGGUGGGUCCAGCCGCAUCUCUGACAGAGACAAAAAGAAAACAGAAUCAGUAAGCCAGAAGAACUACACUUAAGUUAUAAUUCGUCAGCAAUAAGCA